UAACAGUGCGGCCGUUGUGGGUCACGUGGCCGUGCCAAGAUGGCGGCGCCCAGCUCGACCUUCCGCCUGCUGGCGCGGUUGGGCUGCUGGGUCCCGGGCCGGGCGUGGUGCCGCGGUUAUGGCGCGCAGGUGUCCGCCACUGGCGAGCUGGUGACGCACACGGGGCAGGUAUAUGAUGAACAGGACUACAGAAAAGCUCGUUUCGUGACACGGCAGAAGGAGGUGAAUACAAGCUUUGCUAUCGAUUUGAUAGCAGAACAACCUGUGAGUGAAGUUGAAAGCAGAGUGGUAUCGUGCGAUGGUGGUGGAGGAGCUUUGGGACAUCCUAAAGUGUAUAUAAAUUUGGGAAGCCCUGUGGGCUGGAUGCCGUGACACCGCAGGCUGGGAUUUGAGCACUGCUGUAUUAGAUGUCGUUGCUGGCUAAAAUCCCAGCAGAAAUAACAAUAAAAACAUUGGAAACUGAGCAUGUUUUACAGGUUGAGUAUGAACUUCAUAUUGCCAUUUUUGUUAUUU